rnacentral:rRNA from 1 species
UACGGGGGGGGCAAGCGUUGUUCGGAAUUACUGGGCGUAAAGGGUCUGUAGGCGGCCAACUAAGUCAGACGUGAAAUCCCUCAGCUUAACUGGGGAACUGCGUCUGAUACUGGUUGGCUUGAGUGCAGGAGAGGAGCGCGGAAUUCCAGGUGUAGCGGUGAAAUGCGUAGAUAUCUGGAGGAACACCGGUGGCGAAGGCGGCAUCCUGGACCGAUACUGACGCUGAGGAGCGAAAGCCAGGGGAGCAAACGGG